UGGCUCAGAGGUAAAAGCGUCUGCCUCCAAUGCAGGAGACCUGGGUUCGAUCCCUG
rnacentral:tRNA from 1 species